AGAGUUUGAUCCUGGCUCAGGAUGAACGCUGGCGGCGUGCCUAACACAUGCAAGUCGAACGGAGUUACGAUGAAACCUAGUGAUUCGUAACUUAGUGGCGGACGGGUGAGUAACGCGUGGAUAACCUGCCUUACACUGGGGGAUAACACUUAGAAAUAGGUGCUAAUACCGCAUAAGCGCACGGAGCCGCAUGGCUUAGUGUGAAAAACUCCGGUGGUGUAAGAUGGAUCCGCGUCUGAUUAGCUGGUUGGCGGGGUAGAAGCCCACCAAGGCGACGAUCAGUAGCCGGCCUGAGAGGGUGAACGGCCACAUUGGGACUGAGACACGGCCCAAACUCCUACGGGAGGCAGCAGUGGGGAAUAUUGCACAAUGGGGGAAACCCUGAUGCAGCAACGCCGCGUGAGUGAAGAAGUCAUUCGUGAUGUAAAGCUCUAUCAGCAGGGAAGAAAAUGGCGGUACCUGAGUAAGAAGCCCCGGCUAACUACGUG
rnacentral:rRNA from 1 species